rnacentral:rRNA from 1 species
GAUGAACGCUGGCGGCGUGCUUAACACAUGCAAGUCGAACGGUGAAAGCGGAGCUUGCUCUGCUGGAUCAGUGGCGAACGGGUGAGUAACACGUGAGCAACCUGCCCCGGACUCUGGGAU